rnacentral:rRNA from 1 species
UACAGAGGUCCCAAGCGUUGUUCGGAUUCAUUGGGCGUAAAGAGCGUGUAGGCGGCUAUGCAGGUCCGCUGUGAAAACUCGAGGCUCAACCUCGAGACGUCGGUGGAAACCGCAUGGCUAGAGUCCGGAAGAGGAGAGUGGAACUCCGAGUGUAGAGGUGAAAUUCGUAGAUAUUCGGAAGAACACCAGUGGCGAAGGCGGCUCACUGGCCCGGUACUGACGCUGAUGUGCGAAAGCGUGGGGAGCAAACAGG